UAUAUGUGCAUGUAUGUGCAGGUGCAUAUACUGUGGAUAUAGACUCAUCACAUGUGGAUACCAGAAGACAACCUCAGAUCCCCCUGCCUGUAUCGCCCAAGCACUGAGAUUAUAGACGUAAGCUGCCAUAACUGCUUUGCACAGUGCUGGGUUGAAACUACGUCUCUGUGCUUGCUGGCAGGGCUUCCUCUUCUCUGCCUGAUGUGGGGAGCCCGACCCCCGAGUCUUCUACCUGAGGAAUGUCCCAGAGUCCUUGGAAACAUUUAAAGGUUCGACUUCCUCUCUUCAGUGUGUAAGCUAAUAACACUUCUCUGGCCGAUAUUGAGUAACCACUGGUGGAGAGAACACACCGUUUGUGAUACAUUGUGGCAGGCGGAUGCCACAGGCCACACAAAUACAAACCCCAGUGGAUGUGCUCUUGAUGACUGAGGUAUGCACUUUUGUCUUGUUCUGGGCAGUGUAGAGGUGCAUAAGAGGAAAAGCAGCCUGAAGAUGGAAGCUCCUGGCUGGCAAUCAGGGAAGAGCCCCAAUGACUUUGCUUUGAAUGGAGCGAGUGCUAUCUGAAACUCAGUUGAAUGUAAUCUCCAUUGUAGGUAGUUAGUAAAAAAGGAUAGCUGUAUCUAACUGUGAUGUUUAGGAAUCAGGCCUGUGGGAAGACUCUAGGCUUAGAAAAAAGCAGCGUGGUAGAAUUCCCAUUGUUGACUAUUAGCCAC